ensembl:lincRNA Gm20468 predicted gene 20468
ACCAUUUCAGAAGGCAGUGUGCUCGCUGAUGAAAAGGCCAUGGUCAUUCUCUUAGGAAAUCUGCUGGGUCUGGCUCUGACAGUCCUCAGCUGCUCCAUAAAUCUUCCAUCAGUUCCAUCCAGCCAAAAAGAUGUCAUCACCGUUUUCUCCUAGCAACAAGGAAUAAAAGGGCCAUCUCCAACAAGACUGUCAGAAAAAUGAGGACCGGAGCCCAAGAUGAUUGGAACAUCCUUUGUGACCCGAGAACCCCUGCUACUGUUCCCAGAGCUCUGCCCCUUGACCCUACUGAGGCUCCAACAGACUGGCACCAGAUAUUUCGCUUCAGUGAUGCACAAGUGAUGACUCCAUCCUCCAUCUGCAGGGCCCAGCAACUUCAACAGAGAGUAUUUGGAAACAAAGUGAGGAGUGCUUGCAGUCUUUCCAGCCUUUCCUCCUGACACUCCCUCAACCCAG